GACGAACGCUGGCGGCGUGCCUAAUACAUGCAAGUAGGACGCACAGUUUAUACCGUAGCUUGCUACACCAUAGACUGUGAGUUGCGAACGGGUGAGUAACGCGUAGGUAACCUGCCUAUUAGAGGGGGAUAACUAUUGGAAACGAUAGCUAAUACCGCAUAACAGUAUGUAACACAUGUUAGAUGCUUGAAAGAUGCAAUUGCAUCGCUAGUAGAUGGACCUGCGUUGUAUUAGCUAGUAGGUAGGGUAAUGGCCUACCUAGGCGACGAUACAUAGCCGACCUGAGAGGGUGAUCGGCCACACUGGGACUGAGACACGGCCCAGACUCCUACGGGAGGCAGCAGUAGGGAAUCUUCGGCAAUGGGGGGAACCCUGACCGAGCAACGCCGCGUGAGUGAAGAAGGUUUUCGGAUCGUAAAGCUCUGUUGUUAAGGAAGAACGAGUGUGAAAAUGGAAAGUUCAUACUGUGACGGUACUUAACCAGAAAGGGACGGCUAACUACGUGCCAGCAGCCGCGGUAAUACGUAGGUCCCGAGCGUUGUCCGGAUUUAUUGGGCGUAAAGCGAGCGCAGGCGGUUAGAAAAGUCUGAAGUGAAAGGCAGUGGCUCAACCAUUGUAGGCUUUGGAAACUGUUUAACUUGAGUGCAGAAGGGGAGAGUGGAAUUCCAUGUGUAGCGGUGAAAUGCGUAGAUAUAUGGAGGAACACCGGUGGCGAAAGCGGCUCUCUGGUCUGUAACUGACGCUGAGGCUCGAAAGCGUGGGGGAGCGAACAGG
rnacentral:rRNA from 1 species